UCGUGGGAAUUUCUUCGUCAAGUAGAGUGCGGCUAAUCGUGACGAAGCAAUGCUCGCAGUGUGAUGAAGAAUGGCCUAUCGGGCUUGUACAGACGUCCUUAUCGUGGAGGAUCGAAUAUGGUGGGUUCGUAAUACAAUCUGCUAUUGAGCGUGACAUGGAAGAAGAAAGCACCGGCUAACUCACGUGCCAGCUAGCCGCGGUAAUACGCGGCGGGUGCACGACGUCUGAUCGGAAUCACUGGGCGUACAGGGUGUAGUAGGCGAGUACAGUUAGGUCUGUCGUGAAAUCCCCGGGCUCAAUCGUGGGGAAUGGCAGGUAGAAACCGGCGCACUAGAGUAUGGGAGAGGGUGGUGGAAUCCAGGUGUAGCGGUGAAUGCGUAGAUAGUCUGGAGGAACAUCAGUGGCGAAGCGGCCGCUGGCCCAGUACUGACGCUGAGGCACGAGAGCGUGGGGAGCAAUCA
rnacentral:rRNA from 1 species